GAUAACGUGUUGGGAAACCAUGCAGUUCAGCACGAACACCCCUCUUGGCUUAAACCAAUCAGUUCAAAUGAAUCCCCCUCUUGUAGUAACCAAUCACCCCUACCCAACUUGUUCCCGCCAGUGAAUGUGCUAAUCAUGUUUUAGAGUUGUUAUUUAAUUUUCCCAUGGUGUGUGAUGAUUUGCUAAGAGAUGCUAUGAUGUGUGGGGGGGUUCCUGCCUUCUCCAAAGAAUGUAUAAAAUUGCUGC
rnacentral:lncRNA from 1 species